rnacentral:rRNA from 1 species
GAUGAACGCUGGCGGCGUGCCUAAUACAUGCAAGUCGAGCGAACAGACGAGGAGCUUGCUCCUCUGACGUUAGCGGCGGACGGGUGAGUAACACGUGGAUAACCUACCUAUAAGACUGGGAUAACUUCGGGAAACCGGAGCUAAUACCGGAUAAUAUAUUUAACCGCAUGGUUCAAUAGUGAAAGACGGUUUUGCUGUCACUUAUAGAUGGAUCCGCGCCGCAUUAGCUAGUUGGUAAGGUAACGGCUUACCAAGGCAACGAUGCGUAGCCGACCUGAGAGGGUGAUCGGCCACACUGGGACUGAGACACGCUCCAGACGCCUACGGGAGGCAGCAGUAGGGAAUCUUGCGGAAUGGGCGAGAGCCUGACGGAGCAAGGCCGCGUGAGUGAUGAAGGUCUUCGGGUCGUAAAACUCUGUUAUUAGGGAAGAACAAAUGUGUAAGUAACUAUGCACGUCUUGACGGUACCUAAUCAGAAAGCCACGGCUAACUACGUGC